CAGCCGUAAACUAAUGCGCGUUAGGUGUAUCGGUGACCACUAGUUACCGAGGUGCCGAAGGGAAACCGUGAAACGUGCCGCCUGGGAAGUACGGUCGCAAGGCUGAAACUUAAAGGAAUUGGCGGGGGAGGCACAACAACGGGUGGAGCCUGCGGUUUAAUUGGACUCAACGCCGGACAACUCACCGGGAACGACAGCAAUAUGUAGGCCAGGCUGAAGACCUUGCCUGAAUCGCUGAGAGGAGGUGCAUGGCGUAGACGUCU
rnacentral:rRNA from 1 species